UACGUAGGGGGCGAGCGUUGUCCGGAGUUAUUGGGCGUAAAGCGCGCGCAGGCGGUGCGGUAAGUCUCUGGUGAAAGCGCUCGGCUUAACUGGGCGAGGGCCGGGGAGACUGCCACGCUGGAGGGGAGCAGAGGCGAGUGGAAUUCCGGGUGUAGUGGUGAAAUGCGUAGAGAUCCGGAGGAACACCAGCGGCGAAGGCGGCUCGCUGGGCUCUACCUGACGCUGAGGCGCGAAAGCGUGGGGAGCGAACCGG
rnacentral:rRNA from 1 species